rnacentral:lncRNA from 1 species
AUUGAUUUGUGCAGAAAUAGAAAACGGUCUAAGCCUUUAAUAGUCCAACUUGUUACAAAGAUAAGUGGUCUUGAUAUUACGACAAAGUAAUCAUAUCUUGUCACCCAUGUGAAAUGGCGGUUGUUCCUUUUGAAAGACAUCUACAUUGAUAUUUUGUUGUUUUUGAGGUUCUUUUAAAUGUACCUUUAUUGUUGCAUGUAGCUAAGACAAAUGAUUUGCGAAAUCU